rnacentral:rRNA from 1 species
GGAUUAGAUACCCUGGUAGUCCACACCGUAAACGAUGAAUGCUAGUUGCACGGCUCAUUUGCAUGCUGUGUGACGCAGCUAACGCAUUAAGCAUUCCGCCUGGGGAGUACGGUCGCAAGAUUAAAACUCAAAGGAAUUGACGGGGGCCCGCACAAGCGGUGGAGUAUGUGGUUUAAUUCGACGCAACGCGCAGAACCUUACCCAGUCUUGACAUCCCUGGACCACUAUGGAGACAUAGCUUUUCGACCUAACGGAAGAAUCAGGUGACAGGUGCUGCAUGGCUGUCGUCAGCUCGUGCCG